rnacentral:rRNA from 1 species
AAACCAACAGGGAUUGCCCCAGUAGCGGCGAGUGAAGCGGCAAGAGCUCAGAUUUGAAAUCGUGUUUCGGCACGAGUUGUAGAGUGUAGGCGGGAGUCUCUGUGGAGCGCGGUGUCCAAGUCCCUUGGAACAGGGUGCCUGAGAGGGUGAGAGCCCCGUAGGGUGCUGCGCGAAGCUUUUGAGGCCCUGCUGACGAGUCGAGUUGUUUGGGAAUGCAGCUCCAAGCGGGUGGUAAAUUCCAUCUAAGGCUAAAUAUUGGCGAGAGACCGAUAGCGAACAAGUACUGUGAAGGAAAGAUGAAAAGCACUUUGAAAAGAGAGUGAAACAGCACGUGAAAUUGUUGAAAGGGAAGGGUAUUGGGCUCGACAUGGGGGGUGCGCACCGCUGUCUCUUGUAGGCGGCGCUCUGGGCGCCCUCUGGGCCAGCAUCGGUUCCUGCUGCGGGAGAAGGGGCUCCGGAAAGUGGCUCUUCGGAGUGUUAUAGCCGGGGCCAGAUGCCGCGUGUGGGGACCGAGGACUGCGG